GAUUCCUGGGUAUGGUGGGAAGUGGAAUCAAGUUUCUUUUUGGGGAUUAUCAGGCUCUAGAACUCAUAGGAACUUUAAAAACCAACUUGUCAAAUCCCAGUUUUGGCAAUCAAAAGAAGAAAAAGUUAAUAGAAGAGAUGCUGAGAACUGGCUGAGAUACAGGCUGAAAGAGAACGUGAACUAGACAUUAUACGUGAACUAGACAUUAUAAAGUGUUACAGUAAUGUUGUGUAACUUGUGCCCAGUUGCAGAAAUGGAGCCACCUUAUUUUUCCUCACAUUAUGCAUAUGUA